rnacentral:snRNA from 1 species
GUGCUUGCUUUGGUAGCACAUAUACUAACAUUGGAACGAUACAAAGAUUAGCAUGGUCCCUGCGCAAGGAUGACACGCAAAUUCAUGAAGCAUUCCAUAUUUUU